rnacentral:rRNA from 1 species
AACGAACGCUGGCGGCAUGCCUAACACAUGCAAGUCGAACGAGACCUUCGGGUCUAGUGGCGCACGGGUGCGUAACGCGUGGGAACCUGCCCUUAGGUUCGGAAUAACUCCCCGAAAGGGGUGCUAAUACCGGAUAAUGUCUUCGGACCAAAGAUUUAUCGCCUUUGGAUGGGCCCGCGUUGGAUUAGCUAGUUGGUAGGGUAAAAGCCUACCAAGGCGACGAUCCAUAGCUGGUCUGAGAGGAUGAUCAGCCACACUGGGACUGAGACACGGCCCAGACUCCUACGGGAGGCAGCAGUGGGGAAUAUUGGACAAUGGGCGAAAGCCUGAUCCAGCAAGGCCGCGUGAGUGAUGAAGGCCUUAGGGUGGUAAAGCUCUUUUACCCGGGAUGAUAAUGACAGUACCGGGAGAAUAAGCUCCGGCGAACUCCGU